rnacentral:rRNA from 1 species
GGGAAUAUUGCACAAUGGGGGGAACCCUGAUGCAGCGACGCCGCGUGAGUGAAGAAGUAUUUCGGUAUGUAAAGCUCUAUCAGCAGGGAAGAAAAUGACGGUACCUGAAUAAGAAGCCCCGGCUAACUACGUGCCAGCAGCCGCGGUAAUACGUAGGGAGCGAGCGUUAUCCGGAAUUAUUGGGUGUAAAGGGUGCGUAGACGGGAAAACAAGUUAGUUGUGAAAUCCCUCGGCUUAACUGAGGAACUGCAACUAAAACUAUUUUUCUUGAGUGCAGGAGAGGUAAGUGGAAUUCCUAGUGUAGCGGUGAAAUGCGUAGAUAUUAGGAGGAACACCAGUGGCGAAGGCGACUUACUGGACUGUAACUGACGUUGAGGCACGAAAGUGUGGGGAGCAAACAG